GAUGAACGCUAGCGGCAGGCUUAAUACAUGCAAGUCGAGGGACAGCACAGGUAGCAAUACUGGGUGGUAACCGGCAAACGGGUGCGGAACACGUACACAACCUUCCUUUAAGUGGGGGAUAGCCCAGAGAAAUUUGGAUUAAUACCCCGUAAUAUAGUUGAAUGGCAUCAUUUGAUUAUUAUAGCUGCGGCGCUUAAUGAUGGGUGUGCGGCUGAUUAGAUAGUUGGCGGGGUAACGGCCCACCAAGUCUACGAUCAGUAGCUGAUGUGAGAGCAUGAUCAGCCACACGGGCACUGAGACACGGGCCCGACUCCUACGGGAGGCAGCAGUAAGGAAUAUUGGUCAAUGGACGCAAGUCUGAACCAGCCAUGCCGCGUGAAGGAUUAAGGUCCUCUGGAUUGUAAACUUCUUUUGUUGGGGACGAAAAAGGGCCUUUCUAGGUCAACUGACGGUACCAGAUGAAUAAGCACCGGCUAACUCCGUGCCAGCCGCCGCCGUAAGAC
rnacentral:rRNA from 1 species